GCGUGCUAUACAUGCAGUCGAGCGGACAGAUGGGAGCUUGCUCCCUGAUGUUAGCGGCGGACGGGUGAGUAACACGUGGGUAACCUGCCUGUAAGACUGGGAUAACUCCGGGAAACCGGGGCUAAUACCGGAUGGUUGUUUGAACCGCAUGGUUCAAACAUAAAAGGUGGCUUCGGCUACCACUUACAGAUGGACCCGCGGCGCAUUAGCUAGUUGGUGAGGUAACGGCUCACCAAGGCAACGAUGCGUAGCCGACCUGAGAGGGUGAUCGGCCACACUGGGACUGAGACACGGCCCAGACUCCUACGGGAGGCAGCAGUAGGGAAUCUUCCGCAAUGGACGAAAGUCUGACGGAGCAACGCCGCGUGAGUGAUGAAGGUUUUCGGAUCGUAAAGCUCUGUUGUUAGGGAAGAACAAGUACCGUUCGAAUAGGGCGGUACCUUGACGGUACCUAACCAGAAAGCCACGGCUAACUACGUGCCAGCAGCCGCGGUAAUACGUAGGUGGCAAGCGUUGUCCGGAAUUAUUGGGCGUAAAGGGCUCGCAGGCGGUUUCUUAAGUCUGAUGUGAAAAGCCCCCGGCUCAACCGGGGAGGGUCAUUGGAAACUGGGGAACUUGAGUGCAAGAAGAGAGAGUGGAAUUCCACGUGUAGCGGUGAAAUGGCG
rnacentral:rRNA from 1 species